CUGUCUUAUUCAUCCUAACGUAUUCUUUCAGAGGAGCACUAUAUCAACAUUCCCAAUCAAAGGAAGAAAUUUCAACAGGAUUCCGCAGAGAUCAACGCUACUUACACGAGUUUGAAGUUGGGGGAACAGUCAGUGUACAAUGAAAUACAAAGUCGCGAUGUUCGGAAGCAUACAGCCUGAACAAGAACAAACUGAAGUCAGCCAGGAUCUGAACAGUGUUUCACUCUCCAUUUGGCCCGAAUCUUUCAUUUCAAUUUCAUGAGAGUCCUGAAAGAAACAUCGUCCUCAAAGACAAGGCAAUAUUAAAAUCUCUGACUAUUUAAUACUGCACUAUAUUUCUGUGCUUUAAGUCGAGUAUUGGGAUAUGUCCCACUUGGGAACCCAAUGAACUCAGAUAUCUUUAUGUCUACCUUUCCCAACAUUUAGAUAAUUUCAAAUUGAAAUUCAAUCGGACAAUCUGAUGACAAAGCCAGUAUUUGUUGCCCAGAGUUAACCACAUUGCUGUGAGUCUGGAGUCACAUGUAGGAAGCAUGGCAGUUUCCUUCCUGAAGGACAUUAGUGAACCAGAUGGGUUUUGACCCAACAAUCAGGUUAUAAGCCUCAUUAAUUCCAGAUUUUCGUUGAAUCGAAAUUCCGCCAUCUGCCCUGGCUGGACUUGAACCAGGUCCCCCCAGAACACUAGGAGAAAGUGAGGACUGCAGAUGCUGGAGAUCAGAAUCGAGAGUGUG